rnacentral:rRNA from 1 species
GACAGAGGGUGCAAACGUUUGCUCGGAAUCACUGGGCGUAAAGGGCGUGUAGGCGGGAAGGAUAGUCAGAUGUGAAAGCCCUGGGCUCAACCCAGGAACUGCAUUUGAAACUCCCUUUCUUGAGUGUCGGAGAGGAAAGCGGAAUUCCCGGUGUAGUGGUGAAAUGCGUAGAUAUCGGGAGGAACACCAGUGGCGAAGGCGACUUCCUGGCCUGUUCUUGACGCUGAGGCGCGAAAGCUAGGGUAGCAAACGGG